UGGCGGGGCCUGGAGCCAGGGGCUGGGCUGGAGGCCUCACCCUGCCUGCGCCCCUUAG
rnacentral:miRNA from 1 species